rnacentral:misc_RNA from 1 species
GGAUUACGAGGAGGUUGGUGCUGAGUCUGCUGAAUGUGAGGAUGGUGAAGAACCUGAAGAUUAUUGAGCAGUUACCUAUCGUAACUGUGUUUUUCUAUAAGCUCUGUUCUUGCUGGGGUUUUCUUGUUAGUGUCUUCUUUAUCUUUGUUGAACUUGAAGCUUGGUAUCUUUCAACUUGGUUGUCACUCCUGUCCAGACUUAUAUGUUUGGUU